CGCGCUCCGCCGCUACGAAGGGUUUCAAAAAUGAUCGUAUAGAAAUUCCGCAGAUAAGACACGCGGACCUUUCCAUGGUGCAUGGUGACAAACGCGCAAGGAACUCGCUCAUAUUCAAAAGGUCAGAAGCCACACCGUUUGUUCAAGAAGGGUUCGGGUUGCCAGAACUGCCGCAGAACUGGUAGUAAAUUUCGUAGAAAUUUACAAGGACAAACUUGAUUGCAGAUGUACGUAGAAUUUAAUAUUUCAUUGGCUGAAAAGCCGCGUCCUCGAUACAUCGAAGCUACAAUUUUGACCUCUGCAGCAGCCCUACUAUUUGAACUCGGACAUUGGAGAAGUUUGCAUAGGACACUGUUUGAAACAUCUGACUCCGAGUAAACGAAACUUUACUCUGCACACGCGAGUUUUCAAUAAUGGUAAUCAAAUAUCCGCGUGCCUAACAAGCUCUACGCACAAUUGCAAUUUUGGUAAUUUCUCUACCGUGUUUGAACGGUCAAAGGUCACGGCGAAAUUUCAUCUGCAAAAACCAUUUUUAUAUGUAGAUGUAUAAUAUGUAUAAUAUAAUUUUCGUACUUCACGUAUGCAUCCUAUAGCUUCGCGUCCUUAUCAGCAGGCAACGGGCACCCAAUCAGCAAGCAACCAGCGACAAACCACAACUGGAAGUCACCGCGUUGGUAGUGUAUUUUUAAUAAACGUUUGAGUUUUACAAACUCACAACUGCACGGUGACUAUACCUUGUCGACACAUACGCGGUGGGGAUAAAACGCAGCUAUUAAUCAACAAUUAAAAACAGAUGUUUAUAUUUGCAUAAAACACAUUUUCUCAAU
rnacentral:lncRNA from 1 species